rnacentral:tRNA from 1 species
GGGUCAGUGGUCUAGUGGUAUGAUUCUCGCUUUGGGUGCGAGAGGUCCGGGGUUCAAUUCCCCGCUGACCCC